CCCUUGUCUGAGGGAGGGUUGUUCUCAACCUGAUAAUAACAAACACAGGUCGAAGUACGGCCUUUUACACAGGGCUUUGAUACAGACCAAACAGCUAUUUAUAUAAGGGGCUAUAAAGGAUCCCAAAAUUAUUAGCGUACACAAUUCGAACAGGAAAACCAACGAUCUAAUUUAUAUAUCAUGUAUAUCCAAACGGGAAUAUACCAAUGAACAACAUCAACAAACGAUAACUGCUGAACGACAGGCCCCUCAAUCAAUCAGGACAGGUGCAUAAACAUGCAGCGGCUAUGGAUAGUUUUGUUUCUCCAGCAUACAAUAUAAUUGCAGUUGAAGGCAAAUCCUUCAGAAGUUCUUUGUACUUUAUUCUAACAACGAACAUUUUUUGAUAGGGAAUAUAAGUAAGGGGGAAAGUAGCCAAUUUUUUGUUCUUUACAGGUAUUUCCGGAACACUCCCGCUUUGGAUAAAUAGGUUUCAUGCUGAAACAAAUAUUCUCACAGAUAUUUACAAAGUGUGGUGGGGUGCUUUUAUGUUUAAAAUCGUUAUAUACAGGUUAGACUGUGAUUUUAAAAACAAAUGUUGAUAUCUUUUUAUAAUAUUUACAAAAAAAAAGGUGCGGAAAUGGACAUGAUUACUUUUCCGGAUGCGGGAAGCGGGA
rnacentral:lncRNA from 1 species